rnacentral:rRNA from 1 species
AGAGAUGCACUGGGUGUAAAGCGUGCGCAGGCGGUUUUGUAAGACAGAGGUGGAAUCCCCGGGCUCAACCUGGGAACUGCCUUUGUGACUGCAAGGCUGGAGUGCGGCAGAGGGGGAUGGAAUUCCGCGUGUAGCAGUGAAAUGCGUAGAUAUGCGGAGGAACACCGAUGGCGAAGGCAAUCCCCUGGGCCUGCACUGACGCUCAUGCACGAAAGCGUGGGGAGCAAACA